AGAGUUUGAUCAUGGCUCAGGACGAACGCUGGCGGCGUGCUUAACACAUGCAAGUCGAACGGUAAGGCCCCUUCGGGGGUACACGAGUGGCGAACGGGUGAGUAACACGUGAGUAACCUACCCUUGACAUCGGAAUAAGCCCGAGAAAUCGGGUCUAAUACCGAAUAAUCACUCUCGCGGACAUCUGCGAGAGUGCAAAGCUCCGGCGGUCAGGGAUGGGCUCGCGGCCUAUCAGCUAGUUGGUGAGGUAACGGCUCACCAAGGCUUCUACGGGUAGCCGGCCUGAGAGGGCGACCGGCCACACUGGGACUGAGAUACGGCCCAGACUCCUACGGGAGGCAGCAGUGGGGAAUAUUGCACAAUGGGCGAAAGCCUGAUGCAGCAACGCCGCGUGCGGGAUGACGGCCUUCGGGUUGUAAACCGCUUUCAGUACCGACGAAGCGAAAGUGACGGUAGGUGCAGAAGAAGGACCGGCCAACUACGUGCCAGCAGCCGCGGUGAUACGUAGGGUCCGAGCGUUGUCCGGAAUUAUUGGGCGUAAAGGGCUUGUAGGCGGUCUGCUGCGUCGGGAGUGAAAACUCAGGGCUUAACCCUGAGCCUGCUUCCGAUACGGGCAGACUAGAGGAAUGCAGGGGAGAAUGGAAUACCUGGUGGAGCGGUGGAAUGCGCAGAUAUCACGUGGAACACCAGUGGCGAAGGC
rnacentral:rRNA from 1 species